rnacentral:lncRNA from 1 species
UUUCUGGCUCAGUGGAUCAAUCUGAUGGCUCAUUCUUGGAUGAUACUCAACUUAAGGAAGGCUUUGUGCUUACCUGUGUUUCCUAUCCCACAGCAGACUGUGUUAUCCAAACUCAUAAGGAAGGUGAACUCUACUGAGAAAUUGUGGCUUGAAAGUUAAAACCAUUGCUCGAGGAAACUGAGAAUUUAAGGUAGAUUUUAUGGCGGAUUUUGCUUUAGAAUCUAUCUUUCUUUUAGCAUUAUUAAUAGUGAUAUGGGUUUUAGAAGAUGGUAAGUUUGACAUUUAAAUGUGAUCAAGGGUGUUAUUUUAGUUAUGAAGAACAUGAUGAAGUAUUUGGAGGAAGAAACAACCUUUCAUAAUUGGUAGAGAAAUUUCACUUUCUUUUUAAAAUAAACAAAAUCUAUCUUGUUAUAUCAAUUGUCAAUAGCUGCUAUUUUAACUUACCUAAACAUAUUUCAUUAAUUGAAAGAUGUGGCAAUUUUCAACUAGGGAAUAAGUUGUUAUAGUUUAUUUUUUCAGUUGGUUUAAAUUAAGUUAAAUAUAUAAAAUAUAACCUGCAUAACUCAAUUUAAAUAGUAACUAUUUUUUUGAUACGUAUAACAGUGAGAAAGCUAGCAAAUUUGAAGAUUUGAUAUUAUUGUCCUUUGCAAUGUUUACCUAUGUAUGUUUCAAAAUUCAAAGAACAAUAUAUUAGUUUGAUUUUUAAAAUCAUUUUGACAAAACUUCGAUUUUAAAUAGAUUUUGAUUUUAAUCAAAAUUAUUUAAUUUAAUUUAAAUUUUAUUUUUUUUAAAUUAAUAUUAAUUUUUAAAAUUUAAAACCAUAAAUAAAUUUUAUGAGAUUUUAAAAUAUUAUUUCUUUUAAAAUUUAAAAAAACAUAAAAGAAACAAAUUCUUUAGAAAAAAAAUUGAAAUAAUAAAAUUAUUUUCUGAAAAUGAAAAAAAAAAAUUGAAAACAAAAAAAAUCUUUAAAAAAAGUUAUUCCAAAAAAUAAAAAUAACUGAAAAAAAUUUAUUUAAAGAAAAAUGGAAAUUGGAAAUAAAAAAAUUAUAAAAAUACAAAAUAUUUUUUAUUCUGAAAUUAUAAAAAAUUAUUAUUUAAAUUUUUUUUUUGAAAUUAAAUUUUUUUUUAUUCUGAAAAUUUGAAAAAUUAAUUUACUGAAAAAAAUAUAAAAUAUUUUUUAUUUAGAAGAAAAUAAUAAUUUUAUUUGAAAAAAAUAUUAAAUUAAAAAAAUUCUGAAUAUAAUAUUUUUUGUAAAAAAAUAUUUUUAAAAUAAUUUUUUUAUGAAAUUUAAAAAUAUUUAAAAUAUAAAAUUAAUUUUAAUGUGAUAAAAAUGGAAAGAGACAAAAAUAAAAAUUUUAGUAAAAUUUAGAUAUCCAAUAACAAAACCUAAUUUUUAUAAUGGAUAACAGUUUAUAUUUGAAUAACAAAAUGAAUAUUCAAAUUUUUAUUUUAAUAUUUGGUUUGAUUUUUUAAAAAUAGAAUAAUUUAAUACUAAUUUAAUUAUGAAUAAACCGUUUUUUUUCACAUCCCUAUAUAUCAUAGUCAUUUUUCUUGCUAACUAAAUAUUUAUUUUCACAGCUUAUAAAAUAUUUUGCCAUGUCAGCAUCUGUAAUAAAUUAUACGAAUUAAAAAAAAGGAUAAAAAUAAUGCUUUCCAACCACAAAUCAAAUUUAAGAAUCUAUUACUAGUAAAAUAAGUGUUAACAUCUUAUACCGUCCACUUGAAAUAAUUGAUUUAUAAUUAGUUUUAUAAAAAUUAAAUAUUUAAACACUAAUAUAUUUUACUCCAAAAAGUAUAAUAACAUAUAUAACAAAUUAUUUAUACAAUAGCAACUAAGUUUUAUUCCACUAAUAUGGUCUUAUCUUCUGGACUAUAGUUUUUUUUAAGUGUUUCUCUAUAUCUAAGUGUUUGAUUCAUUUUCAUUUAACAUAUCUUCUUUAGAAAAUUGCGUAAGACAUCAUAAAGAUUGUUACUAUACUUUCGUAAAAAAAUAAAAAUAUUUUUAAGAUUCAGAGAUGUAUUGUUAGACUAAUCCCAAAUAUAUUUGGUUCUCAGUCUGAUCUUAAGACUAUGUAAAAAAAAUUACGGAAAUUAAUCUUCCUAUAAAUUAUGGAGAUGCUUCUCUUGACACUAUUUUAAUAAAAAAUACGUCAGAUUCUUUCUCAUUCCUCGCUUUUUAAAAUACUCUCUCAACUCCUAUUCUCUCAUAGUCAUUCAACUCACUUUAAAUUUUCUUUCAUCAACAUCAAAUCGAUCAAAGAGUUUACUCAACAUCAAACUAAACUCACAAUUGAUAAGUUUAUGAUUUUUUUUUUUAAUUUCUAUAUACAUUUGUAGGAAUUGAGCAUUAAGUUAUGUAAUAUGUAAUUUAGAUAUGUUAGUGAAAUGAAUAAUGUGUUUAAUAGAUAGUUUAAAUGAUCAAUGCAUUAUUUUGGAUGUUGGUAUAAACUGCAUUUCCGCCAUUAACAUGCUUUUGAGUUGUAGUACCUUAUGGAGAUGCAUCUCUAGAUUUUUUCAAUGUUUUGAUUUCUAGAAUCUAGAGAUGUAUCUCCGGAACUUUUUCAGUUUGCUUUGUUUGGCUUGAUCUCAUUGUGUUUCAUAUGUAUAAUGCUUGUGUGAUUUACUUACAGACAAUAUGGUUGAUAACCUAGAUAGAUUGAGGCAUAACAGAGUUGCACAUCAUGCAUAGAGGGAAAAAGCUCGCUCAUCGCAUGCACCUGUUGUUUUUAGCCCGAUUGAUGCGAGAGCGUCAACUUUUGAGGCUCAUGCAUUUCCACCUUACAUGUGUCACCUACUCAGACACCUGAGGCACUGGAGGCACCUAAGGCUCCGCAGGCACCUGAGGCACACGAGGGAUUUGGAGGAGGUCCUUCAGACUUAUUACUCCUGCGUCUAUACCCGAACCAUGAUGCCAGACAUGUCUAGGACGGAAAGGUAAAAUUAAGUUGUAUUCCUUCUUUGAAAUAUCAUUUUUAUAAUAUUCGAAGUUUUCGACGAUGAGUUAUUUUCCUGCAGGACCAUGAUGCCUUAAAAUUUAUCAACCAUGGUCAAAAGAUUACGGGUCAACAACAACCUAAUGAGCAUUGGUCUAAGGAUGUGAUGCAACUAUCUGGGCUGAGAGACUUAUGCAAUAUCGAUUAUGUUACAGUUAACCAUGGUAUGCUAUCAACAUUUGUAGAGAGCACUCGAAGACGACAUCAUUUCAUUUUUCACACAGUGAGAUGUUUAUCACACUAGACGAUGUCUCGUGCCUGCUGCAUCUUUCGAUCAUGGGGAGACUGUUAGAUUACAACAAAAUUAACAUAGAUGACACAAUGGAGACGAUUGUAGACUAGCUUGGAGCUGACCCAGAGAAUGCCAUGCCAUACAUCGAAAAAUCCAUGAGCGCAUCGCACGCUCGAAGAUACAACAGAGUCGCCACCGAACUAUAUUUAUUCUAAAAGGAAAGAGAAAAUAUCGAUAAAAUCCAAGGGAAAGAGAAAUGGGUAAGGAAGUCGGUUAUGCAAGGGGAGGGUAUUAACAUCCCUCACAUUUGUUGUACUUAACGAGAACCAUUUUUAUUGUUCUUUGCUUGAAUGUGUGUUACUAUCUAAAGGUUACUUGCAAAUGAUAAAAGGGAAAAAAUAAGUUUAUAGUUAGUGUGCUCACCAAGGAUUCAAACCCUCGGGCCUACGUAUUCUCACAAUGCAAUGAGAAAAUCAGAGCUCCGUAGUUCGUGGUAGAAAAUAUAGAUUUGUUGGUUGAUUUUAGGGAACAAUUAUAAUCAUAUUCUAGAAGUGUAUAGACGUUAGCUGAUUAUGAUCCUUGUUCGGAUGCUCUAAACUUUUAGUCUGACUGCUAAUGAACAUAUUAUAACAGUUCUUUUGUGAAAAGAAAGAAAAUUGUUUUGAAAAAACGUUUGUGUGAUAAAAGAAAAAGAAAGAGUUGCUUGAAUAUAAUUAAAAGAAAAGUUGCUUGAACUGUAAAAUAAUUUGAAGUGUAAGAAGAGGAGUAGGAAAUGUAGAAAUGGGUGUGAAAUGUGUUGUGAAAUGACAAAGAAGUUGUUUGUGUAUGGUGACAGUAUUGUUUGAACCAAAAUUAUGUUGUUUGGACCCAUAAGAUAGGUGUGUCUGAGCCAAGGAGUGUGUAAACUAAGGAUGGGGUAUUUUAACCGAUAAACGGUGAUUAACCAUGCAUGAGGGUGUGUUAACCAAGGAGUGGUGAUUAACCCAUGAAUGAAAAUAUGUGGUAUUUUAACCAAUAGACGGUGAUUAACCAAUGCAGGAGUUAUAGGGUUUGUUAAUCGAGAAGUGGUGAUCAACCCAAAGAAUGAGAAUGUGGUAUUUUAACUGAUAUCCGGUGAUUAACCAAUGCGGAAAGUUGCCUGAGCAUGGAGGUAAUAUGGCAAUGCAUGAAAAAAUAACUUCAUCUUCUUCACUUCCAUGUUUGUCUUAUUCUUCUAAGCUUCCAUUGCUUUGCUCCACCACCGGAGGCGGAAGAGUUUUCCGGAACAGUCAAGUUGCAACAUAAAAAAUGCUCAUAUCCAUCUCCUCUUUAUAUAUAUCUCAUCAAUUCAAUUCACCACUCAACCAAUUUUCAGAAUUGCAUCAAGAAAGUGAUGAACCCUAACCUCUAAAACAAAAAUUAAAUGAUAGAGGGGAAGAAUCAAGCCGCCAAACCUUGGGGCUUUGUUUCUUCAAUGCAAGAGCUACAUUAUGGUAUCAAGAUUCAAGCAAACUGAGGCAAAAGAAAAUUCACCGACAUGCAAGACAUAGGUUUGUCUUGGAAAUUGUUGAAAUCUGAAGGUGCUGAAGAUGAAGAAAACCAGAGGUAUGCUACUUUGAACCUUUAAUCUUUUGCUUCUGCAAUGAACUUAUUCCUCUUCAAGAAUUAAUUACGUAAAAUUAUGAACUAGAUUAUUGCUGCUAUUGUUGAUUGUAUGAGUAUGAGAGUAGUAUGGAGUGUAGAAGGUUUAGCUCAAAUGGUGACAAACUUCAAUGUGAAGCUUGCUCCAAUGGUGGUAGAGCUUUGGUGAGGCGAGGGAGAUAAAUUGAGAGAGACAAUUCUGAAUUUAUAGUGGAAUGUUUAGAGAAUGAAUGAUUAUGGUGGUUGUUAUUAUCGUUGUUAUUGGUUGAAGAGUGUGGUGAGUUUAUAUAGAUGAAUUUCCCAACUGUUUCGGGCAUCUCUGUUAGAGGUUAGGGCAACAGUUAGUGUUAAUGGAUUCCAAGAGUAAGUUGGUUAUGAAAUUAACAGAGUUAGAGUUUCUGUUAGAUUGAAUUUGACAAUUGGAAUGGUCAAUGAAGUGGCAUUUAGGAACUGUUAUGACAUGUUGGUGAGGUUAGGAUUGAAGUGAAUUAGUGUAGUUCAAGUGUUGGUGAAUGUUUGUGAUGUUGUUGUAAUGCUUAGUUCAAAGAUAGGAAACUGCUAGUGUUGUUGCAUCAUGUUCAUGUGUUGUUAUGUGAACAUGUUAUAGGAAUUGGACUUGUUUUUUAGGGUUUAAAAUGGGACUGUGAUGCUGAAAUUAAGCUGAAAAUUGAAAAAUUAGCAGGUGUAACCGGUUACCGGGUUUUGUGUAAUCGGUUACUAGAAUGAAAAAAGGUGUUCUGGGUUGCUGAAUAAGUUGAUGAAACACAUGUGUAACCGGUUACCAGGUUUUGUGUAACCGGUUACCAUAAUGCAAACAUGCCUCUGGGUGUUGGAGAAAUACAUGUAGCCGGUUACUAAAAUGAAAACUUGGCUUUCUGGUGAGCUGAAGUAGGUGUAACUGAUUACCAGGUUAUCAACUCAAAAAUUGGCCCUUUUUAGUGUUUUGGUGCAUUGACUCAUGUGUGAAGCAUAAGGUUUUGGCCUUUUUCUCAAUGUACAUGUGAUUUUGCAGGGUUGGUGUUAUAUGUUUGUCGUGAAGCAUUAUCUAUGAAGGUUCAGCAAGAGGUGUGGAUUUGACAAGAAGAUAGACCAGGGCUUAGGAUAGGUUGACCUUGGUAAACUAUUUGACCAAAAAGUCAACAGUUGACCAAAGGUCAACUGUAAGUCAAAAAGAUGAAAUUUUGUAUGCAAAUUUGUAAUUUGGAUCCUUUGUAAUGAAAUAGAUUUUGAAAUGAAAGGUGUAUGUAAAUUUUGUUUCAAGAAAGCAAGGUUCCCUUCCAAAUUUACAUCUCUGAAUAUUUGAAUUUGCCUUGAAUAUGACUUUGAAUGAACCUAGAAUUUGAAUUUCUUGAUCACUUGAAUGAAGUGAUAUGCCAUGGAUCAAACAAAUCAAAGCCCAAGAUAAUCAUUAUCUUCCAUAUACUAUGCCAUGAUGUAAUCAACACAACCACAAGCAUAUACCGAAGAUUAAAGUUCCACAAACUUGAUUUACAAGAAAUGAAUCAACCAUCAUUGUUGUGCCAACAUCACUUUUGUAUCAUAAUUAUCAAAACUCUUGAAUCAAUGAUGUUUAUAUGAAGAAUGAAUGCAUAUGGCAUGGGCAUGCAAAUGAACUGAGGAAAGAAAUGAAUCAACCAUCAUUGUUGUGCCAACAUCACUUUUGUAUCAUAAUUAUCAAAACUCUUGAAUCAAUGAUGUUUAUAUGAAGAAUGAAUGCAUAUGGCAUGGGCAUGCAAAUGAACUGAGGGUUAAAAGUCAGAUGAAAAAUGAAAAAGGGAGGACAAAUUUUGGGGUAUGAUAGUUGCCCAUAUUUAAUCUUCUUUGACCUGUAUGUACGAAUGGUGAUGACCGUUCGGGAACUUAAGGUAGAAGAGGAUUAAGGGCUCAUUUGUUUUGGCUUUUUUUAAAUGAUUUUUAUAGUGUUACAUAUUUUAGUGUAAAAAAAAUUUACAAAGAAACUUUUCAUAAAAGUUUCAAAUUAAAAUUUGGUUUGAAUAGUUAUUCUUAAAAUAUUAUUUUAGAUAUUUUAUCAUUUUAUCGAAACUUUUUUUGGAUAUCAAAUUUUCAAAAAAUCACUUAAUUUUGAAGCUAUUUCAAUUAGCUUUUCAUAAAAAUCAUUUUUAAGAUACACUUUUUUGAAAAAAAUUUGUGAUUUCGACUAUGUUUUGAUAUUCAAUAAUAUAUAUUUAUGUUAUAGAAUGAACAAUUCAAUCUUUUAAUUUAUAAAAAACAAAUUUAAAAAACUUAUAAUAUUUUAAAAGACAUUUUUGUAGAAUCCAUUUUCAAAAAUACAAAGAAAAAAUCCAUUUUUUUAAAGUUAAAACAAAUUGGCCCUAAAUACAAGAAUAUCCAAAAAUUUGUCUGUGAGGAUGGAGUGAAUGAGGUGUGAGGAAGGGAAGUGUAUUGGGUAUUUGUUUAUGACAGGUAAACUUUUGUGAUGUCAUCUGAUGGGGAUUGAAUGAAAUAUUAUGUUGGGGAAAUAACUUAGUCGCAAGGGAAAUGUUUGAUAUGCAUGAUAUAUGUGUAAUACCCCAAAAUUUACCCUUCAUUCUUCUUGGAAGCAUGAGAUUGUGUUUCACAUUGCAUUAGCAUCAUACUAGGUCAUACUCAUUGCAUAUUGCAUUAGUGACUUGGGAAAUCAGGGUUUUAUUGAUCACUCCUCAACAGAAGGAGCCUACACAGAGCAAGACUGAGAAUUUAACUUCAUUCUCCAAUUAUACAAGUCUCAAAGAGUUCCAUAUGUCUUAUUAUGUUCCUCAGUUCAUCAGUGGGAGAUUCAGAACUCUCAGAGUGUGCAUAUGGAGUUAAUCAGAAAUCAGGGUUUCAAGUUGUGGCGGAAAUUGGGUUGGAGAGAAGCGUAAUCGAAGAUUUCUUUGGCGAGAAGAGGGUCUGAUUGGGAAGCAAUGAGUUUCUGGACUCUGGUUGGAGAACCGAUUGGAGAAGAAGAAGAAGAAUGGAAUUGGUGUUGCAGUGAAGAAGAAGAUGAUGAGAAUACGCCAUUUGAAGCAAUGGUUCUUAGAUUUUUUGAUAACACUGUAAACGAUCGGUGCAUCGUUUUUUCAGAUAACUGACAACAGAGUGAAUGAGUGAAUGAGUGAAGCAAUGGUUUGGCGGCGAGUAGCGAAUCUGUGGGUGGGUGGGUUAAACAUAUUCCUUCGUUCCAACAACAAACAACUAUACUAUUUAUUUAUUUAUUUAUUUAUUUAUUUAUUACGCCCAAUAAAAUAAUAAUAAUAAAAAUAAAUAAAUAGAACCUAAAACCCAUCACUCUCUCUCACUUCGUUUUUUCCGCUUCCAUCUCUAACCAACGCAACCACCACCGUCUUCUCCUCUGUAAGCUCUUCCAUUCUUCAUCACUUUUUCUUUAAUAUAGAUUUUACUAUUAUUAAUAUACUCUGCAAUUUAUCUCAACUAGUUAUGCUAUUACUAUACCCUUCAUCAAAUCAAACCUUCAUCAGGGUUUAUCUUUCUUCAUAAAUCUCAUCAUUUUCUACCAAAAACUAUCUUCAGUUAUUCAUUAUAUCCUUUAGGAAUCUAGGUGUUGUUAAUUAUUCUUGAAACAAACCAAGAAAUCUCUAUUUGAUGGGGUUUUGGGGUUUGAUUUGACAGCUCUAGGGUUUUGUCAUUUUGUGCUUAUGAUUUUGUUUUUUUUGUUAUUGUGCUUGGCUGGGAUUUUGAUCUCGUUGGAGAUUUUCCUGCAAAGACACAAUCUUUCAUUGUUUUGUUGAUUGGGCACAAAUCAUAUUUUGAAGGUGUUCCGGUGAGGUGAGUAUCCGGUGGUCCGUGUAUGACAUGUGUCGAUGUCAAUAUGUGUGGUUACUUCCGUUACUUUCAUUUUUAAAAAAAUUCUUAUUGGUGCUUUGUGUUUCAAUCGGUGUUUCGUAGGGGGAAAUUGAGUGGUGUUUUAGAGUAUGUCUUUAGGACUGGUUAUGAAAGAAUUUUUGUUUUAUGAACAGCAAUUGAUCGUUAGAAUAUUGACUUCGAGCAUAAAAUGAGGUCAUUUUGUUAGGUAUGAUGUUUUGAUUGUAAACUUGGAGCUUCGAGUGAAGAGCAGAGAGUUACAAUCUUGCUUCUUCUCAUACAGCUCCAUAAAACAAUAGCCGUUUAUCAAACAGGAAUGAAACCAAUUUCAUUCUUUUUGUAAAUUUUUAUGGCAUAAAUUCGUUUGACAUUAUCAACAACAUUGGUAUUAAAUCAGUUUACGCAGAUGAUAGUUGAAGGUUUUCGCUAGUAUUUUUUUCUUCACCAAAGUUUGAACUCUGGUCCUUUAAUCCUUUGCUCAAACCAGUUAAACUACCCAACCUAUGAAAUAAGCAAAGAUAAGUGUUAGAAACUAAGACCUGGCAAGCUAAACAAUAAAUGCUUGGACGCAAAGAUAAGCGUUAGAAUUUAAGGCCUGGCAAGCGAAACAAUAAAAGCUUAGACUUAACUGCUACUGUGGGAAUGGCCACGUUCUGCUUUUUUUCUUUCUUUCUUUCUUCCUUCAGAAUUGGUAAUCUAAGGGUGUAAAUCUAUUAACACUUCUCGCACUCUUCAAUAAUUGUGUCUUGUAUAAUAAAAUAAACCACUUUAUUUUGUUAAAUAUAAAUUCUAUUAUAUUGAUUUAUUUUCAGGGCAACAAUGGCAUCCAUCUCAGCUGUGAAUAUUUCCCCACUAUGCAUGUUUCAACCCGCAAACCGCAUUCAAUCAACCAGCACUACCUUAGUGAAGUGCCCUUCCGCUUUUGGCUCUAUGAGAAGUGUUUCCAGAUCUUUUGGCUUGAAGUCAUCCUCUUCAUAUAGAACAACUGCCAUGGCUGCUUACAAGAUUAAGCUAAUUAGACCAGAUGGAGAAGAGGACGAGUUUGAAGCCGCUGAUGAUGUCUACAUCUUAGAUGCAGCAGAGAAUGCCGGAGUCGAACUCCCUUACUCGUGCCGUGCUGGAGCAUGCUCUACUUGUGCUGGAAAGGUUGUUUCUGGCUCAGUGGAUCAAUCUGAUGGCUCAUUCUUGGAUGAUACUCAACUUAAGGAAGGCUUUGUGCUUACCUGUGUUUCCUAUCCCACAGCAGACUGUGUUAUCCAAACUCAUAAGGAAGGUGAUCUCUACUGAGAAAUUGUGGCUUGAAAGUUAAAACCAUUGCUCGAGGAAACUGAGAAUUUAAGGUAGAUUUUAUGGCGGAUUUUGCUUUAGAAUCUAUCUUUCUUUUAGCAUUAUUAAUAGUGAUAUGGGAUAAUGGAUAUUUGAUUGUGUGCAAGCACUAGUUUUUAGAAGAUGGUAAGUUUGACAUUUAAAUGUGAUCAAGGGUGUUAUUUUAGUUAUGAAGAACAUAAUGAAGUAUUUGGAGGAAGAAACAAC